rnacentral:rRNA from 1 species
GAUGAACGCUGGCGGCGUGCCUAAUACAUGCAAGUCGAGCGAACAGACGAGGAGCUCGCUCCUCUGACGUUAGCGGCGGACGGGUGAGUAACACGUGGAUAACCUACCUAUAAGACUGGGAUAACUUCGGGAAACCGGAGCUAAUACCGGAUAACAUGUUGAACCGCAUGGUUCAACAGUGAAAGACGGUCUUGCUGUCACUUAUAGACGGAUCCGCGCCGCAUUAGCUAGUUGGUAAGGUAACGGAUUACCAAGGCAACGAUGCGUAGCCGACCUAAGAGGGUGAUCGGCCACACUGGAACUGAGACACGGUCCCGACUCCUACGGGAGGCAGCAGUAGGGAAUCUUCCGCAAUGGGCGAAAGCCUGACGGAGCAACGCCGCGUGAGUGAAGAAGGUCUUCGGAUCGUAAAACUCUGUUAUUAGGGAAGAACAAAUGUGUAAGUAACUAUGCACGUCUUGACGGUACCUAAUCAGAAAGCCACGGCUAACUACGUGCCAGCCGCCGCCGUAA